AAUACAGGAGUGUUUAUGGUUGGGUUGAGACACAUUCAGUAGCUGAGUGAUUGACAGCAAGAGGAGCAAGACAUGAGGUUAAUAAUUAUCAAAUAUAUGGCAAUGCUGGACUUUAGCUGAUCAUCGUGCUUCUGGAAAACAACAAAAAUUGAGAUAUCUGUUCACCACUUUGUGUGUCCAAGGACCACCUACUUUUUACAUGUGACAAGAACUACCCACCUCCACUCUUCAGGAUAGAACAUGCUGAAGAAAAGAGUUGCAAUGAGAAAAUAUAUGGGAACAAAAUACCUAUGCAAUGCAGAAGUCUGCAUAACUGAACCACUCAGAGGAAAAAGAUUGCCAUUUCAGGACACCUCCUACAUCUGAGGAAAUAUGCAUUGAUCUUGCAGUACUUUUCUCCUCCAAAUAAAAGUCAGUAUGAUAACAA
rnacentral:lncRNA from 10 species